rnacentral:rRNA from 1 species
UUCCGGUUGAUCCCGCCGGAGGUUACUGCUAUCGAGGUCGACUAAGCAUGCGAGUCGAAUGUAGCAAUACAUGGCGUACUGCUCAGUAACACGUGGAUAACCUACCCUUGAGAUGGGAAUAAACCCGGGAAACUGGGUAUAAUACCCGAUAGAUCUCGACUGCUGGAGUGCAUCGAGAUCCAAAGCUCCGGCGCUCAAGGAUGGAUCUGCGGCCUAUCAGGUAGUAGUGGGUGUAGUGUACCUACUAGCCUACGACGGGUACGGGUUGUGAGAGCAAGAGCCCGGAGAUGGAUUCUGAGACACGAAUCCAGGCCCUACGGGGUGCAGCAGGCGCGAAAACUUUACAAUGCUGGAAACAGCGAUAAGGGGACCUCGAGUGCCAGGUUACAAAUCUGGCUGUCGUGAUGCCUAAAAAGCAUUGCAUAGCAAGGGCCGGGCAAGACCGGUGCCAGCCGCCGCGGUAACACCGGCGGCUCGAGUGGUAACCGUUAUUAUUGGGUCUAAAGGGUCUGUAGCCGGCCGGAUAAGUCUCUUGGGAAAUCUGGCAGCUUAACUGUCAGGCUUUCAGGAGAUACUGUCUGGCUCGAGGCCGGGAGAGGUGAGAGGUACUUCAGGGGUAGGGGUGAAAUCUUGUAAUCCUUGAAGGACCACCAGUGGCGAAGGCGUCUCACCAGAACGGACCUGACGGCAAGGGACGAAAGCUAGGGGCACGAACCGGAUUAGAUACCCGGGUAGUCCUAGCCGUAAACGAUACUCGCUAGGUGUCGGCAACGGUGCGACCGUUGUCGGUGCCGUAGGGAAGCCGUGAAGCGAGCCACCUGGGAAGUACGGCCGCAAGGCUGAAACUUAAAGGAAUUGGCGGGGGAGCACCACAACGGGUGGAGCUUGCGGUUUAAUUGGAUCAACGCCGGAA